rnacentral:rRNA from 1 species
UACGUAGGGUGCAAGCGUUAAUCGGAAUUACUGGGCGUAAAGCGUGCGCAGGCGGCUUUGCAAGACAGAUGUGAAAUCCCCGGGCUUAACCUGGGAACUGCAUUUGUGACUGCAUGGCUGGAGUGCGGCAGAGGGGGAUGGAAUUCCGCGUGUAGCAGUGAAAUGCGUAGAUAUCAGGAGGAAUACCGAUGGCGAAGGCAGGUCUCUGGGCUGACACUGACGCUCAUGCACGAAAGCGUGGGGAGCAAACAGG